rnacentral:rRNA from 1 species
CCUACGGGGAGCAGCAGUGGGGGAUAUUGCACAAUGGGGGAAACCCUGAUGCUGCGACGCCGCGUGUGGGAAGACGGUCCUCUGGAUUGUAAACCACUGUCCCCAGGGACGAAGAUGCCGGUACCUGGGGAGGAAGCUCCGGCUAACUACGUGCCAGCAGCCGCGGUAAUACGUAGGGAGCGAGCGUUGUCCGGAAUUACUGGGUGGAAAGGGAGCGUAGGCGGGACUGCAAGUUGGGUGUCAAAUCUACCGGCUCAACCGGUAGCCGCACUCAAAACUGCAGUUCUUGAGUGAAGUAGAGGCAGGCGGAAUGCCUAGUGUAGCGGUGAAAUGCGUAGAUAUUAGGAGGAACACCAGUGGCGAAGGCGGCCUGCUGGGCUUUUACUGACGCUGAGGCUCGAAAGUGUGGGGAGCAAACAGGAUUAGAUACCCCUGUAGUC